rnacentral:sRNA from 1 species
UGUGGGUUAUUAUUUUUUUUUUAUUUGAUUUGACUUUUAGGUCUUUGUAUAUUUUAGACACUAGAAGACACUACUCUUUUGUUGAAUGUGUAGUUGGAAAAAAGACUUUCUCCUAUUUUGAGAUCCAUCUCAUCUGUUGACCGUUGCUUGUAUUGCUUAUGCUACUGGAGUCCUGCUUGAAAAGUGCUUACCUAUGCCUGCACAUUGACGUAUACUCCCCAUUUUUCUCUAGUAGUUUGAGAGUAUCAAGUCUUAUGUUGAGGUCCUCCAUCUGGACACUGGAUUUGAGUUUUGUGCAAGGUGACAUACGAAGAUAUAGUUUUGUUCUUUUGUGAGAUCUGGUAUUUCCAGCACUACCAUGACCUUCACUGCCUUGGGAUUGACCUGAUGGGGCAAAGGAGGGGAAUGAAGAAACAGCACACACACUUACAGAAAAGCUGGUGUCUGGUGAGCUGUUCUCAGCAGCCCAAACCCAGUGCAUUUAUUAUAUAAAUCUGAGGUGAGGAGGUAGGUCGGCUAGGCUUCGCAGGGAGUCUCUGCAAGGGAGCAAGCUCAGGCUGUAGUUAUUGUUCAGGUAGGAAGAUGUGCUUGAUGCUUUGCGAGCUGUCAACAUCUGUACUUGGAACAGUUAAGGCUUUGCUGAUUUCCUGAUCCAGACCCAGGGAAGGCUGGGUAAUUCACAUGGUCUGAGUCAGGGGGGGUCCAUGACAUGCUGUGUUCAUGUCAACAAUACACAUUCACUCAAGACUUCAUCUGCUUCUUACACAACACCAUUUAGAUCAGAAGCCCUGUUUUUUCCAGUGAGGAUUUUGGAGUUUUUGUCAACAAAUCAUGGAGCUGUAGUAGCAUGGAUCAUACCUAAGUUCAUUAUUUUAUUCCAUUGGCCUCCACAUCUGUUUUUGUUGCAGCAGCAUGAUGUUUUGAAGUCAGGUAUGGUGUUUCCUACAGUAGGCCUCUUUUUGUUUAAGAUUGGUUUGGCUGGCUGUGUCAAGUUUCAGUAUGAAUUUUGGCAUUAUAUGUUUUAUUUCUGUAAAGUGUUGCUUGUUGCUUGAAAUUUGAUGAGAAUUUGCAGUGAAUCUGUAGAUUAUUUUGAUAGGAUGGUUAUUUUCACAAUAAUUAUGUUGCUAAUCCAUAUGCAUAGCAGCUAUUCCUAUUUUCUAGUAUCUUCUUCAGCUUUCUUAGGGUCUUAAAGUCUUCAGUGUCCUUAGAUUAUUUUGUGUGUGUGCAUGCCCGUGUGUGUGUGUGUGUGUGUGUGUGUGUGUUAUGAAUUGGUUUAAUUCCCUGGUUUUCUUUUCAGUAUGUAUGUCAUUGUUCUAUAGAAAAACUACUGGAUUUUGUGUGUUAAGUUUUGCUGUAUUUCGGGAAGUUCUUAGCAGUUCUCAAGAGGGUUUUUUGUGGCGUCUCUAGGAUCAGUUGUGCAUAGGAUUGAUCAUCUGCUAACAGAGAUACUUUUGACUUUUCUUAUUGCUACUUUGUCUAUUGCCAUAGCUAAGAAUUCAAGCACUCCGAAAUGAAAUGUAGAGCAUGAAAAUCUUUGUAUUAUUCAUGAUUUUUGUGGGAUUGUUUUGAGUUCUUGUCAUUUAGUUUGACAUUAGAUGUAAGUUUAUUAUAUAUAACUUUCCUAUGAUGAGUUAUACUCUGAAUUCCUUAGGCUUUCCAUGAUUUUUGUCAUGAGAAGGCAUUGGAUUUUGUUAAAGGCUAGAUGAUAUCUUCAUUUCCAUCUUCAUAUGACAAAUUACAUUUAUUUAUGUAUGAGGAGCCAACUGUUUAUCUCUGCAAUGAAGCCACCUUGACCAUGGUGAAUAUACUUUCCUUUUCCCAAAUAUUUUAUUGAGAAUUUUCACAUCUAUGUUCAUCAGAGAGUUGAGUCUGUGAUUUUCUCUUUCUUGUGUGUUUUAUUUAUGACUUAGUGUUGAAAUUUGUUUUACAACUAAAACCUAUGGCAAAAUUUAGUACUACACUACAAAGUGAAGUACAUGACCUCUGGUUGGUGGAGUAACGGUAUCCAUGAGAAUGUGAAUACUGCAUUGAUAUGGAGAGCAGGUGACUUUCACGUAAAUAAGCCUUAGUCCAAUUUAGAGUACUGAGACUGGGUAGUUUUCUUUUUAUCUUUUAUCUCUGGGUAAAUGCGAUUUCCAUAUCAAAAAUAUAUUAAAUUUACUUUAAAACUCACAAAUAAACAACAAGGCUUGCAAUAUCUCUAAACAGUUAAAUGGUAAAUUGUUUAGUAUCUGUCAUAGUUUGAAUAGAAAUGGCCCUUACAGGCUCAUAUAUUUGAAUGUUUGCUUCCCAGAUGGUGGACUGUUUAGGAAGGAUGAGAAGGUGUGACCGUGUUGGAGGAGGUAUAUCACUGAGCUCAGGAAACUGCAGACGAAGAGGCAAAAAAAAAGUGUAAGAGCCCAAGGGGAUGGAGGAUACCAAGGAAACAAGGCUUUCAGUACAGCAGGACUGAUUCACAUGCGAACUCACAGAGGCAGUGGCAGCAUGCACAGGGCCCGUGCAGGAUUGGUCUGUAUGAGGUCCUGAAAGAAGUGGACACUGCCCCCUCCCUGUCCCAGAAGCUGUCUGUAAUUGAUACCUACUCACAAGUGAAAAGUUAAUUUUCUGUGAGUCUCACAGGAUGUACGUACCACUGUUAGGGCCAGGCCCUGUGCCCAGCAGUAGAUGGUCAAUACAAAAUAAACUCAUUUUCAGAGGUU